GGAUGGGAAGAUGUAAGGAGGAAGACUGGAGUCAGAGGGAGACAGCAGGAUGGAAGCAAAGGUUGAAGGGAGACAGCAGGAUGGAAGAUAGAGGGGUGGGAGGAGGAUGAAGGGAUGGGAAGAUGCAGGGAUGGAAAACUGAAGUCAGGGAGGCAGCAAGCUGGAAGAUAGAGGGAUGGGAGGAAGGUGGAAGGAUAAAGAUAGAGAAAUAGGAAAGAUGAAAGAUGAAGCCAUGAAAGGGAGAUGGAGAGAUCUGAGAUAGAGGGAUGGGAGGAAGAUUGAGGGAUGGGAGAAAUUGAGAGGUGGGGAGAAAUGGAAGGAUGGAAGAUGACAAGGAUGGAAAAUAGCAGCUGGAGGGGCUGCAGAUAACCUGGGAACUGCCCUCAGCAGGGCCACAGCUGCAUUUGCCAGUGAAGAUGGGGAUGACAGAAAUCCCAGUCCCUCUGAUGCUGGUCCAGGU